AGGGACCUGUGAUAACUCACAGAACAAUGACUGUCGCUCUCCAAACGGCCAGGUGGAAAGCUGCUCAGACUCCGCAGGCCAGUGGCAUGUCCCAGGCACACCGUGUGUUAUCCCCACAACCCCAUCGACAACGACAAAACCCACAACCACCUCAAAACCAGCAACCACAACGCAGCCCCCUUGCAAACCUGCAAUUUGUAAUAUCCUAACAAGCAGUGUUUUCAAGGCAUGCCACACAGUCAUACCUCCGGGACCAUUUGUGAAAUCCUGUGUGUCUGACAAUUGCAACAGUGACAAUAACACCUGCACCAGCCUGGAGGCCUAUGCCACUGGGUGCUCUAAUGAAGGAGUCUGUAUCGACUGGAGGAAUGCAACCAAUGGGCGCUGUGAGCACACGUGUCCAAAAAACAAAGUGUACAAGGCCUGUGGGACCAGCGUAGAGCCUACAUGCAAUGACAGGUAACAAAUG